GCCCCUCAACCAUCAGGUUCGGCAGCCGGCGGCGCCGCCUGGCAGCUCCUCCUCUUCUCCGCCCCGCUGGCCGCGGGCGCGGGGGACGUCAGCGCUGCCAGCGUGGAAAGAGCUGCGGGGCGCGGGAGGAGGAAGUAGAGCCCGGGACCGCCGGGCCACCACCGGCCGCCUCAGCCAUGGACGCGUCCCUGGAGAAGAUAGCAGACCCCACGUUAGCUGAAAUGGGAAAAAACUUGAAGGAGGCAGUGAAGAUGCUGGAGGACAGUCAGAGAAGAACAGAAGAGGAAAAUGGAAAGAAGCUCAUAUCCAGAGAUAUUCCAGGCCCACUCCAGGGCAGUGGACAAGAUAUGGUGAGCAUCCUCCAGUUAGUUCAGAAUCUGAUGCAUGGAGAUGAAGAUGAGGAGCCCCAGAGCCCCAGAAUCCAAAAUAUUGGAGAACAAGGUCAUGUGGCUGUGUUGGGACAUAGUCUGGGAGCUUAUAUUUUGACUCUGGACGAAGAGAAGCUGAGAAAACUUACAACUAGGAUACUUUCAGAUACCACCUUAUGGCUAUGCAGAAUUUUCAGAUAUGAAAAUGGGUGUGCUUAUUUCCACGAAGAGGAAAGAGAAGGACUUGCAAAGAUAUGUAGGCUUGCCAUUCAUUCUCAAUAUGAAGACUUCGUAGUGGAUGGCUUCAGUGGGUUAUAUAACAAGAAGCCUGUCAUAUAUCUUAGUGCUGCUGCUAGACCUGGCCUGGGCCAAUACCUUUGUAAUCAGCUCGGCUUGCCCUUCCCCUGCUUGUGCCGUGUACCCUGUAACACUAUGUUUGGAUCCCAGCAUCAGAUGGAUGUUGCCUUCCUGGAGAAACUGAUUAAAGAUGAUAUAGAGCGAGGAAGACUGCCCCUGUUGCUUGUCGCAAAUGCAGGAACGGCAGCAGUAGGACACACAGACAAGAUUGGGAGAUUGAAAGAACUCUGUGAGCAGUAUGGCAUAUGGCUUCAUGUGGAGGGUGUGAAUCUGGCAACAUUGGCUCUGGGUUAUGUCUCCUCAUCAGUGCUGGUAUGUUGUUGAUUUACUGAAUAUUGGUGUUUUUAAGAAUGAAUUUAAAAUCACUCAAUCCCUCCUGGCUCUUCACAGUUUUUAUGAAUGGAGGAGGGUGUUAGGUUUGUGUAUUCUGAUAAUCUAACAAAGAGUUGUUCUUGUUUUGGUAGGCUGCAGCCAAAUGUGAUAGCAUGACGAUGACUCCUGGCCCGUGGCUGGGUUUGCCAGCUGUUCCUGCGGUGACACUGUAUAAACACGACCCUGCCUUGACUUUAGUUGCUGGUCUUAUAUCAAAUAAGCCCACAGACAAACUCCGUGCCCUGCCUCUGUGGUUAUCUUUACAAUACUUGGGACUUGAUGGGUUUGUGGAGAGGAUCAAGCAUGCCUGUCAACUGGUGGAAGAUGAGCUCAGCUCCCCAGUGGUGGUGUUCAGAUUUUUCCAAGAAUUACCAGGCUCAGAUCCAGUGUUUAAAGCCGUCCCAGUGCCCAACAUGACACCUUCAGCAGUCGGCCGGGAGAGGCACUCGUGUGAUGCGCUGAAUCUCUGGCUGGGAGAACAGCUGAAGCAGCUGGUGCCUGCGAGCGGCCUCACAGUCAUGGAUCUGGAAGCUGAGGGCACGUGUUUGCGGUUCAGCCCUUUGAUGACCGCAGCAGGUAUGAUCUCGUGAAACCUUGAGAGAAACUGAAUGAGGAAUGAAACUAUUGUUCCUGUUUCACACAGAAGAAAACUGAGGUUGGCACUCAUGAUGAGCCCCUGUUCUCAUUCUGCAAAUGGUGAAGCUCUCUAUCGUCCUGACCCCACAGUUCCUGUCCCAUGACCAGGGCCCGCUCACCAAGGAGCUGCAGCAGCACGUAAAGUCAGUGACAUGCCCAUGCGAGUACCUGAGGAAGACGAUCCUACACCUGCCACCUCCGAUGGAUCCACUGCCUCUGUGCCUGCCUGUACUGCCGAUGCUCCAGUGGAUAACUCAGCAUCCCAGCCAAGGCCCAAUGCCACUGAAGAUGGACCUGCCCCCUGGGGACCCAGGAGUCCUACCACUCAGCUGUCCCCAGGAGUGCCCAGACCCUCAUUCUUAUCCAGGACCUAGGAGCCUUACCCCUGGCCUUCCCUCAUCAGCCGUAAAUGAUGAUUUACUGCUGUUACCAUCAUCACUGCCUUCAGUGACCAAGGGCCUUCCAAGGUGCCAGCUCUGGAACGAAGGAUGCCCUUGGGAGGUGAUGACACUCAGGUUGAUGGACGGAUGGCUACAUGGAUGUGAUGGAGAUGGUUUACUAUCGGGACCUUCCGCAUCCUGCUGAUGUUUUGUUGCUUAGGAUAUGAAUGGCUGAGCGGAGGCUGUAAAACCUGGCACUCUGCUUGGGUAUGAGGUUCUUCCUGCCAUCCUGCCAUCAUUUGUUUUUUAUGUUUUGUCGCCAAAGGUGACCUUGAGGAACCCUGGGAGCUCAGGAAGGAAGGAGCGCCCAGAAGCAGGGACAGGGAGCUGGUUGGGGAGGACCAGAAAUCAGGUUAUCAAUACUCUGGCUGACCAUCGUCAUCGUGAGACUGACUUUGGUGGAAGUCCUUGGAUAAUUAUCAUUAUUGUGUUUCUGGGACGUUACAAAUUUACCAUUCUCUUCUGCACAAUUUACCUUUGUGUGCCUUUCCUGAAGACUAUCUUCUGGUCUCGAAAUGGACAUGAUAGAUCCAGGGAUGUACAGCAGAGAGCUAGGAGGUCCAACCGCCGUAGACAGGAAGGGCUGAGGUCCAUUUGUAUGCACACAAAGAAAAGAGUUUCUUCCUUUCCAGGAAUUAAAAUUGGCCUGGAAGACAUCUGUACUUUAUGGAAACAGGCGGAAACAAAAGUUCAAGCUAAAAUCCGUAAGAUGAAGGUCACAAAGAAAGUCAACCAUCAUUACAAAAUCAAUGGAAAGAGGAAGACCGCCAAAGAACAAUGUGCCCGGCAUUCAGAUUGCCUUUCCUCUCAACCAGGAUCUUUCAAGUCGAUGACAAGAGUUCCAGUCCUGAAUCACGGCAAAGUGCAGUAGUGAACUGCGGGGUUAAUGACACCAUAUUCUGGAAGGAUCUCUCUAUGGCUGAUGGUCUCAGUUCCGGCAUCAGCCUCUGACUGAGAAUCAGGUCUCACACAGGAGGAGUCAGAUGAGGAGCAAUCCUCUGCUUCCGAUGGAGUUAGUUGUGAUGAGUUGGUGAGGUCUGGUUUUUCACACCGAACUAAAAUGAACUUUCACUGUGUCAAGCACAAGACUGACCCCAGAGACACACAUAGUUGCACCUCGUAGAAGCUUUUAAUAGUCUUUAUAUUUACUAAAGAAUAGGACUAACUAUGGAACUAUGAAGAUGAGCUGGAAAUGACAGGUGACUUGCCAGCAGGCCAGAGUGUGAUUUUUUUUUUCUCCCUCAAUGGGAGGUGUCCAUUCUCCCUUCGGUUGUGAGAAUCAGUUGGUUCAUUUAUGGGAAGGUUGCAGGGGGCAUCUUUGAAUCACAGCCUUCAGAUGCCAGAAGGGCAGAGAGAAUCCCACAUGGGCUGGUGGAUCAUGUGUGUGCAUUUCUCUCCCUUCUAACCUGAGGAAACUAAGCAUGAAAGAAUGUGAGCAUGCAGAAAAGGAGAGGCAGGUAUCAGAGGCAGAGGAAAAUGGGAAAUUGGAUAUGAAAGAAAUACACACCUACAAGUGAGUUCAGAAACUGAACCCCACCCUCCUGGGAAACGCCCAUUGGAGUGUUGUUUUUAACCUCUGUACAAUGUUUAGACCCAGUAAAUGCAGAAAUAGAAACAAAUGGUCAGAAGACAUAUCGUGAGAGAGAGAGAGAGAGUUCACAAAACAGAAAACAAAGUACCUUAAUAUUUACCAGUGACCAAAAGAUGUGAAGCAGCAAAAGGUCUCCUGACCCCAUUGCCAGCUAGACUGUGUAGAAACUCGGUUCAUACCAGCCAUUCUAGGGGUGGGGUGAGUUGUUGUCAUCCUUAGGAAAGUGUGUUGUUGUAGGAUCAACCACAUCCUUCAAAAGGACUAUGCCUGUUUAUAAGCCCAGCUGUUUCUGCCCUGUGAAACACGGUAAGGAUAUUAAUACAAAGAGAAUACAGCUUUAUGAUAAAAGAUGCUCAGUGAAGGAUGAAUUAGGGAUAUACUGAGAAUGGGGAAGGAAACUAUCAUCUCAGAAGUCAGCAGGCAGUAAGCAAGAGGAGGAAUCAAUAUAGCAACAGUUUGGAUCAGACUGUACAGUUUUUUUUUGUUUUUCUGAGAUGGAGUCUCGCUGUGUCACCCAGGCUGGAGUGCAAUGACGUGAUCCUGGCUCACUGCAACC
rnacentral:lncRNA from 1 species